rnacentral:rRNA from 1 species
AUAGGGGAGCCGAAGGGAAACCGAGUCUUAACUGGGCGUUAAGUUGCAGGGUAUAGACCCGAAACCCGGUGAUCUAGCCAUGGGCAGGUUGAAGGUUGGGUAACACUAACUGGAGGACCGAACCGACUAAUGUUGAAAAAUUAGCGGAUGACUUGUGGCUGGGGGUGAAAGGCCAAUCAAACCGGGAGAUAGCUGGUUCUCCCCGAAAGCUAUUUAGGUAGCGCCUCGUGAAUUCAUCUUCGGGGGUAGAGCACUGUUUCGGCUAGGGGGUCAUCCCGACUUACCAACCCGAUGCAAACUGCGAAUACCGAAGAAUGUUAUCACGGGAGACACACGGCGGGUGCUAACGUCCGUCGUGAAGAGGGAAACAACCCAGACCGCCAGCUAAGGUCCCAAAGUCACAGUUAAGUGGGAAACGAUGUGGGAAGGCACAGACAGCCAGGAUGUUGGCUUAGAAGCAGCCAUCAUUUAAAGAAAGCGUAAUAGCUCACUGGUCGAGUCGGCCUGCGCGGAAGAUGUAACGGGGCUAAACUGUGCACCGAAGCUGCGGCAGCGACACUAUGUGUUGUUGGGUAGGGGAGCGUUCUGUAAGCCGUUGAAGGUGGCCUGUGAGGGUUGCUGGAGGUAUCAGAAGUGCGAAUGCUGACAUAAGUAACGAUAAUGCGGGUGAAAAACCCGCACGCCGGAAGACCAAGGGUUCCUGUCCAACGUUAAUCGGGGCAGGGUGAGUCGACCCCUAAGGCGAGGCCGAAAGGCGUAGUCGAUGGGAAACAGGUUAAUAUUCCUGUACUUGGUGUUACUGCGAAGGGGGGACGGAGAAGGCUAUGUUAGCCGGGCGACGGUUGUCCCGGUUUAAGCAUGUAGGCGGAGGUUCCAGGUAAAUCCGGUACCUUAUUAACGCUGAGGUGUGAUGACGAGGCGCUACGGUGCUGAAGUAACAAAUGCCCUGCUUCCAGGAAAAGCCUCUAAGCAUCAGGUAACACGAAAUCGUACCCCAAACCGACACAGGUGGUCAGGUAGAGAAUACCAAGGCGCUUGAGAGAACUCGGGUGAAGGAACUAGGCAAAAUGGUGCCGUAACUUCGGGAGAAGGCACGCUGAUAUGUAGGUGAAGUGAUUUACUCAUGGAGCUGAAAUCAGUCGAAGAUACCAGCUGGCUGCAACUGUUUAUUAAAAACACAGCACUGUGCAAACACGAAAGUGGACGUAUACGGUGUGACGCCUGCCCGGUGCCGGAAGGUUAAUUGAUGGGGUUAUCCGUAAGGAGAAGCUCUUGAUCGAAGCCCCGGUAAACGGCGGCCGUAACUAUAACGGUCCUAAGGUAGCGAAAUUCCUUGUCGGGUAAGUUCCGACCUGCACGAAUGGCGUAAUGAUGGCCAGGCUGUCUCCACCCGAGACUCAGUGAAAUUGAACUCGCUGUGAAGAUGCAGUGUACCCGCGGCAAGACGGAAAGACCCCGUGAACCUUUACUAUAGCUUGACACUGAACACUGGUCCUUGAUGUGUAGGAUAGGUGGGAGGCUUUGAAGUGUGGACGCCAGUCUGCAUGGAGCCAACCUUGAAAUACCACCCUUUAAUGGCUGGUGUUCUAACGUGGGCCCGUAAUCCGGGUUGCGGACAGUGUCUGGUGGGUAGUUUGACUGGGGCGGUCUCCUCCUAAAGAGUAACGGAGGAGCACGAAGGUUAGCUAAUCCUGGUCGGACAUCAGGAGGUUAGUGCAAAGGCAUAAGCUAGCUUGACUGCGAGAGUGACGGCUCGAGCAGGUGCGAAAGCAGGUCUUAGUGAUCCGGUGGUUCUGAAUGGAAGGGCCAUCGCUCAACGGAUAAAAGGUACUCCGGGGAUAACAGGCUGAUACCGCCCAAGAGUUCAUAUCGACGGCGGUGUUUGGCACCUCGAUGUCGGCUCAUCACAUCCUGGGGCUGAAGUAGGUCCCAAGGGUAUGGCUGUUCGCCAUUUAAAGUGGUACGCGAGCUGGGUUUAGAACGUCGUGAGACAGUUCGGUCCCUAUCUGCCGUGGGCGCUGGAGAAUUGAGGGGGGCUGCUCCUAGUACGAGAGGACCGGAGUGGACGCAUCACUGGUGUUCGGGUUGUCAUGCCAAUGGCAUUGCCCGGUAGCUAAAUGCGGAAGAGAUAAGUGCUGAAAGCAUCUAAGCACGAAACUUGCCCCGAGAUGAGUUCUCCCUGAGACUGUAAGUCUCCUGAAGGAACGUUGAAGACGACGACGUUGAUAGGUCGGGUGUGUAAGCGUAGCGAUACGUUGAGCUAACCGAUACUAAUGAACCGUGAGGCUUAACCUU